AAAAACCACGACCAUUUGAGCCUCUAUAUAUAGGUGUCUCGUAUGCUCAAACAUGACAAGCCAGUGAUAGUUGCUUUCAGAUAACUGAUAGUUGUGUGCAAUUAUUUGAAUUCAAGAAUGUCUCAACCCGACUCGUUGGUGGCUGAGAUUGAGGUGAAAACCUCUGCUGAUCACUUUUACGACACCUUGAAGGGUAAGAAACAGCAUCGUAUUCAUGAUGUUGCCCCUCAUCAUAUCCAUAAGGUGGAAGUUCAUGAAGGUGAGUGGGAUAAAUCUGGCAAUAUCAAGGUGCUUACAUUCGCUGAUGGUAAGUUAAACUUAAUAAACACAAUUCACAGCUAUAUAUCUUCUAUUCCAUAUUGUUGUUAUGAUUAAGUUAUCAUUGUUAUUAUUGUUGUUGAAUAUUAUGUAGGGGACACUGUUGAGACCUUAAAGGAGAGAGUUGAUUUUGAUGAUGAAAACAAGAAGAUAACCUACACCAUAUUGGAGGGUGUCAUGUUGAAGUACUAUAAGAGCUACAAGGUUAU
rnacentral:lncRNA from 1 species